GGAUGAGUGGUGGCGGUUGCCCCAGGAUUCCUUCUUGGAAAGUGACCUGGCUCUUCCCUACCUCUUGCGGUGCUCUUUACAGGGGGAAUCACCGGCAAAUUCCACCGCUUGGUGACCUCGGACCGCAUCAUAAGCCUCAAAUGCCACUUCAAUGUCCACUCUCACGUGCUCCGGAAGACCGUGUCUUCCUAGCUGUCCAAGGAACUGUGACAGAAGUACAUCCUCUCCGCGCCCACCUGCAAGGACGACGAUCCAGAUAUGAAGAACUGAAACUCAGGUUAAAUAAUUGAGAACAUGGAGUUGAGGAUGACAAUGAUUCCUGAGUGUGGGAACUACAGGCCUAUGCUACUGUGCUAGACCUGAGCAGGGCCAGGCAUGUGCAUACUGAGCACACCCUCCACUGACUCCACUCCCAGCCACAGGUAGUUAUCACCAGGCUGGAACCAGACUAAGACAGAAAAAGAAUUCUUCAACACAAAGCCAAGUCUCAUCAAGUUGGAAAGAGAAAGGCCACUGUAGGGUCUCACCAAGGAUGCAGGAGUGAAAUGAGCUGUCAUGCAGCCAGGGCUAACUGCAGAAGCCUUGUCUGGUGCUGGCUUCUUUGAAACUUUUCAAAAUGUGUCUGAUGUGUUGCAUUGUUUACUUGUUUUGCUACUGACCUGUCAGUCAUUCUGAAAUUGAUAAUUUAUGAAUAAAAAUUGGAACCAUUUCCCAAA